rnacentral:tRNA from 1 species
GGAGUUUUGCGAUAGUGGUUAUUCGGUGAGACUUGAAUUGAAAACUUAACACUUUCGUGAUCUCAUGCCGUCAGGCUCGUAGGUUCGAACCCUACAGACUUCG